CUGAUCAAAUCAAUUCUAUUAAAGUUAGAUUGGUCAUGUCAAACAAAGUUAGAUUCAUUGAUGACUAUAUAAAUAUCCAAAUUGAAAAAUAAAAAUACACUUUUUUAUCCCCCAAACUGGGAAAAUAAACAAAUCCAAAAAACGAAACAUGCCAUAAAGAAAAUUAGUUGGGAAAUCAUAAUAACGACCAACAAAAGCUCUGCAGCUACAUCACCAUCAGCAUCCUCACAUCCUCACGCUCCACCUGAAAACGAUGAAAGUUAAUGCAUGUAAUAUCAUGUACGCAGCAACCUAAACGAAAUUCAAGGAUCUCAUAGACUCAUACAUUUCUAAACUCCAUAGAUGUCAAACAAGAAAACCACUCUAUAGAAUGCAUUUAGAUUUACAAGAAGGAUUUUUUUGUUACACCCCCAUGUGAUGGGAAAGAGAGAACAAAAAUGUGUAAGAUGAUACUAUAAAUUAGUGCCAAAAAUUUGUGGUUGUUAAAUUGACUCCACAUACCUUGGUAUUUCUUCCACUUUUCAAAAGUUAACUCCUAAAAAUGAGGAUGAAACUUGUUAGAUAUUUUAUAGAUACGUAGGUAAGAUAUGCAGAUAUCUUAUUGUUAAUUGUAAAUACUAAACGGUAAUAAUGAUAUUCAGUUUCUCCUUAUUCAACACGGUAUACGUGUUUUCCCGUGAACCCACAGUAGUGAACCACCUGUCCAUGGGUGCAAUUCUACUCAAAAAACCAUGUCUCGUCUCCGGUUCCGGCUCUUCCCUCUCCUUUCAGAGAGGCCCCAUGUUCCAUAUAAUUUAAUGCCACUACCUCCUUUACAAGUAUACCAAUGUCAACAUCGACCACUUCCCUCCUCUCUAUCACUACUAGCUGGCAACAGACCCAUUCACUAUCAUCCGGGGCCAACUCCUCUGUCCCCUUCAACCCCACCAUGUGUAGGAUUUUGGGAUGUUGUUAUUCGCAGCAAAGUAGCUCUGGGAAACAGUCUCUCGUAUGAUGACAAAGUUUAUGCAUGAGUAGUGGGAUACUCUGUUGUAAGCUCCCCUACUAACAAUAUAUCCCCUUCACGCUACUGCAUUUUCAUUGGUGGCAAUUUGAUGUCUUGUAAAAGACAGAAACAAACUAUAAUGGCAAUGGCAGAAACGGAAUAUCAGGCCAUGCCUCCGCAACCCGUGAGCUUAUAUGGCUCAAACAGCUACUUAAAGAGCUGAGGUUUGGAGAUACUACGCAGAUGACACUGAUUUGCUAUAAUCAAGCAGCCCCACAAGUUGCAUCACAACCGUGUUUCAUGAAAUGACCAAGCACAUUUUGAUCAAUUGUCAUUUUAUUAGACAGAAGAUUAUAUCAGGGGACAUCACCACAAACUUCGUAAGUUCAAACAAUCAAUUGGCAGAUGUCUUUACUAGGUCUUUGAGAGUUCCUAAAAUUAGUUAUAUAUGUAACAAGCAUGAUGCAUAUAAUUUAUAUGCUAUAGCUUAAGGGAGAAUAUUAGAUAUCUUGUAGAUGUAGAAUAUCUUAUUGUUAAAUAGAUUAGCAGGAUGCCUUAUUGUUAAUUGAAAAUAGGGUAAAAAAUUGUACAAUUAUUUCACCUAUUAUAGAUAAUAGACUCCGUAGUAUAGUUGAAACUUGAAACAUGUGAAUUCAAUCUAAUGUUGUCUCUCAGAUUCUCUCUAUUCAACAGAAAUAAUUGGAGCCUUUUACUCUUGUAACGCAGGAAUGUUAACAGCAAAAUUAAAAGCUAAAAACUUAGGCAUAAUUAUGUUAUAAUUUACAGUUAGCAAAGCAAACAAAGAACUAUAAUGAGUAAUAUAAAGCAAGAGAAAGGGAAUGAACUCAAAUUUGAUCGAUACACAUAACAAUCAGUAUAAAACAUGCACAUAUGACAUCUGUAGCAUGUAGCUUUGUUUUCAAUAUAAUAUGAUUAUUGUCAAAAAAUAAUAUAUAUAUAUAUAUAUAAUAUGUGUACUACUUCAAAAUAUGAUAUUUUCAAAUAGGUCCCUCUUUUUGCUGUAAUCCCCGCUUUCAACAAAUAGUGUGCUUAGUCCCGUACUAGGGUACUUUUAGCGAGUAAAAAGUAAAAACACAAGUUUCAAAUUUUCAGACUAAAACCAAAGAAAAUUAAAGCGGGGCUAAUAACAAAAAAUGACAUUUUUAGGUAUCGAAAACAUAUUCCAAGUCUAAAAUAUUUCCACAAUUUACCAACAUCGGUCUUAAAAGUUUAGAGCAAUUAAAGUCUACUAUGUGUCUAAAGCCUCAUUUACUUAAACUCAGUAUUGGAAGCCUUCCAACUACAAAACAAUAUGAACAAUAUAUAUUGGAAUAAUAAUACAAUAAAAGCUCGCGAAUGAAGUGGCUAAGUUGUCAUUCAUAGAAAUUAGGCCCCGUUUGGAUAAACAGCUUAAUUAAGAGCUUAUGGUCAUAAGCGCUUAUGACAUAAGCGCUUAUGACAUAAGCGCUUAUUCAUAAGCUAUUUUUAAAAAUUUAUUGAAAUAAAUUAAAAAUAAGCUGUGUAUAAGCAUAAGCUGUUUUUCAUAAGCUAUCCUGAGUAGCUUAUGAAAAUAAGCUGAAAAUAGCUUAUGGCAGACCAUAAGCUGUUUGCAUAAGCUCUCCCAAACACUGGCAUAAGAGCUUAUGCUGUCAGAUAAGCUCAAAUAAGCUCUUCCAAACUGGGCCUUAAUCCAAAGUACAAAAUCCAGCAGCAUUUACAGGAACAGGCCAAUUUUAAUAGAGGGAACAGUAUAUAGUUACCUUCAAGAUUAACAUGACCUUCAUCAGAUUCUACUUCUUAUUCCUGUUCAGUUCAAAAACAAAUUAAGAAAUUAAAUAUAGGCAACACAUUAACAAGUUAAAUUUCAAAUAGUACUGAUUGAACACAAUUGGCAGCCGAGAGAAAUGGAUUAGAAAAUACAAACCUCUUCAUCCUGUGAAAGGUAAAAAUCAAUUCCUUAGGGGAUUUGAAAUUAUCUCCUGGUGAAACUCCUUUUUUUAUGCAUUGAUGAAGCCACCUUUGAGAAAACUAAACAAUAUUGAAAAACAAAAAUCAGGGAAAGCCAAGACAACAUGGAAUUUAGCAGCCGUAAUAUAAGGAUUUACUAUAUAACCAUUUCUUUCAAACAAUGUCUUCUUAUCCUAUCUUCUAUUGUAGCUUCUUCCUUCCUUGGAGCUGUUGGUACUUUCACCCUGUAAAACAGACCAACGUGUUAAAUCAGGCUACGGUUAUAGAAACUGCUACGAACUUUCACAAAAUACAACAGCCUUAAAUAUAGAUUAAGGAGACGAAAUUGUAUUAUAAUGUAAAUUUAUAAUUGUACCCAAAAGGCUGUACCAAAAAAAGAAUAAAACAGAGACAAUAUGCAGAAAUUGGAUGAAAGAAUUCCAAAAAUCAUAACCAAUAUUAACGGGGAAACGUUCAAAUUCAAGCAUACAUAACAAACAAAAUGUGAGGCUGUAACAGAUCCUACAGCAUAUUCAAAUAAUACGUAAACGUAAAAAUAACAAUGAUCUGAAGAAUACCGAUAUGAACACAACAUUGAAAUAAAAUCCAAUUCAAAUACUGGACUGGACAAGGGAACAUAUAAAGAAACUAAAU
rnacentral:lncRNA from 1 species